CAAGAAAUUAAGGGCUUAUGGUGGAUACCUUGGCAUUCAGAAGCGAUGAAGGACGCGGUUACCUGCGAUAAGCUUCGGGGAGCUGGAAACAAGCUUUGAUCCGGAGGUUUCCGAAUGAGGCAACUCCUAGAACUUCUUAUUGAAUAUAUAGGUAAGAAAGAGCAAACCCAGAGAAUUGAAACAUCUUAGUAUCUGGAGGAAAAGAAAGUAAAAACGAUUCCCUGAGUAGCGGCGAGCGAAAUGGGAACAGCCUAAACCAAUCUAUGAUUGGGGUUGUGGGACAGUAGUUGAAGAUACGAGUUGUUAGGUGAAAUAUCUGGAAUGGUAUACGAUAAAAAGUGAAAGUCUUGUAAU
rnacentral:rRNA from 1 species